UAAGGAAUCUUCCACAAUGGGCGAAAGCCUGAUGGAGCAACGCCGCGUGCAGGAUGAAGGCCCUCGGGUCGUAAACUGCUUUUAUAAGUGAGGAAUAUGACGGUAACUUAUGAAUAAGGAUCGGCUAACUACGUGCCAGCAGCCGCGGUCAUACGUAGGAUCCAAGCGUUAUCCGGAGUGACUGGGCGUAAAGAGUUGCGUAGGCGGUCUGUUAAGCAGGUAGUGAAAUCCAGUGGCUCAACCACUUUGGACUAUUACCUGAACUGGCAGACUCGAGAAUGGUAGAGGUAGCUGGAAUUUCUUGUGUAGGAGUGAAAUCCGUAGAUAUAAGAAGGAACACCAAUGGCGUAGGCAGGCUACUGGACCAUUUCUGACGCUGAGGCACGAAAGCGUGGGGAGC
rnacentral:rRNA from 1 species